rnacentral:rRNA from 1 species
GAUGAACGCUGGCGGCGUGCUUAACACAUGCAAGUCGAACGGUGCCGGCGGAGCUUGCUCUGCUGGAUCAGUGGCGAACGGGUGAGUAACACGUGAGCAAUCUGCCCCUGACUCUGGGAUAAGCGCAGGACACGGCGUCUAAUACUGGAUACGAGCUGCGAAGGCAUCUUCAGCAGCUGGAAAGAACUUCGGUUAGGGAUGAACUGGCGGCCUAUCAGCUUGUUGGUGAGGUAACGGCUCACCAAGGCGUCGACGGGUGGCCGGCCGGGGGGGGGGGCCAGCCACACCACGACUGAGAGACGGCCCAGACCCCAACGGUAGGCAGCGGGGGGGAAUAUUACACAAUAGGCGAGAGGCUGAUGCAACAACGCCGCGUGGGGGAAGACGUCCUGCCGGUAGGGAACCGCAUUUAGCAGAGAAGAAGCGAAAAUGACGGUACCGGCAGAAAAAGCGCCGGCUAACUACGUG